rnacentral:rRNA from 1 species
GACAGGUGGUGCAUGGUUGUCGUCAGCUCGUGUCGUGAGAUGUUGGGUUAAGUCCCGCAACGAGCGCAACCCUUAAGCUUAGUUGCCAUCAUUAAGUUGGGCACUCUAAGUUGACUGCCGGUGACAAACCGGAGGAAGGUGGGGAUGACGUCAAAUCAUCAUGCCCCUUAUGAUUUGGGCUACACACGUGCUACAAUGGACAAUACAAAGGGCAGCGAAACCGCGAGGUCAAGCAAAUCCCAUAAAGUUGUUCUCAGUUCGGAUUGUAGUCUGCAACUCGACUACAUGAAGCUGGAAUCGCUAGUAAUCGUAGAUCAGCAUGCUACGGUGAAUACGUUCCCGGGUCUUGUACACACCGCCCGUCACACCAC